GGUUCGAUGGUGUAGGUGGUUUAUCACUUCUGUCUAACAUUCGUGUUCACAGGCGGUCCUCAGUUCGAACCUGGGUGAAAUCG